UACGGGGGGGAGCAAGCGUUGUUCGGAUUUACUGGGCGUAAAGGGCGGGUAGGCGGCCACCGCAAGUCGACUGUGAAAUCUCCGGGCUUAACCCGGAAAGGUCAGCCGAUACUGCGGGGCUAGAGUGCAGAAGGGGCAACUGGAAUUCUCGGUGUAGCGGUGAAAUGCGUAGAUAUCGAGAGGAACACCAGUGGCGAAGGCGACACGCUGGGCCGUACCUGACGCUAAAGCGCGACAGCAUGGGGAGCAAACGGG
rnacentral:rRNA from 1 species